rnacentral:rRNA from 1 species
GAUGAACGCUGGCGGCGUGCCUAAUACAUGCAAGUAGAACGCUGAAGGAAGGAGCUUGCUCUUUCCGGAUGAGUUGCGAACGGGUGAGUAACGCGUAGGUAACCUGCCUGGUAGCGGGGGAUAACUAUUGGAAACGAUAGCUAAUACCGCAUAACAGUAGAUGUUGCAUGAUAUCUACUUAAAAGGUGCAAUUGCACCACUACCAGAUGGACCUGCGUUGUAUUAGCUAGUUGGUGAGGUAACGGCUCACCAAGGCGACGAUACAUAGCCGACCUGAGAGGGUGAUCGGCCACACUGGGACUGAGACACGGCCCAGACUCCUACGGGAGGCAGCAGUAGGGAAUCUUCGGCAAUGGACGGAAGUCUGACCGAGCAACGCCGCGUGAGUGAAGAAGGUUUUCGGAUCGUAAAGCUCUGUUGUAAGAGAAGAACGAGUGUGAGAGUGGAAAGUUCACACUGUGACGGUAUCUUACCAGAAAGGGGCGGCUAACUACGUG